UACGGAGGGGGCAAGCGUUGUUCGGAAUUACUGGGCGUAAAGGGCGCGCAGGCGGCUGCUCAAGUCAGGCGUAAAAGGCCUGGGCUCAACCCGGGAAUUGCGCUUGAGACUGGGCUGGCUUGAGUGCGGGAGAGGAUGGUGGAAUUCCCAGUGUAGAGGUGAAAAUUCGUAGAUAUUGGGAAGAACACCGGUGGCGAAGGCGGCCAUCUGGACCGCAACUGACGCUGAGGCGCG
rnacentral:rRNA from 1 species